rnacentral:rRNA from 1 species
UAUGGCGACCGGCACACGGGUGAGUAACACGUAUCCAACCUGCCGAUGACUCGGGGAUAGCCUUUCGAAAGAAAGAUUAAUACCCGAUGGCAUAGCUCUUCCGCAUGGUAGAACUAUUAAAGAAUUUCGGUCAUCGAUGGGGAUGCGUUCCAUUAGGUUGUUGGCGGGGUAACGGCCCACCAAGCCUUCGAUGGAUAGGGGUUCUGAGAGGAAGGUCCCCCACAUUGGAACUGAGACACGGUCCAA